rnacentral:rRNA from 1 species
CGAUGCAGCGACGCCGCGUGAGGGAUGACGGCCUUCGGGUUGUAAACCUCUUUCAGCGGGGACGAAGCGCCGAUGAUGGUGGUGACGGUACCCGCAGAAGGAGCACCGGCCAACUACGUGCCAGCAGCCGCGGUAAUACGUAGGGUGCGAGCGUUGUCCGGAAUUAUUGGGCGUAAAGGGCUCGUAGGCGGUUUGUCGCGUCGGGAGUGAAAACACCGGGCUUAACUCGGUGCUUGCUUUCGAUACGGGCAGACUAGAGGCAUGCAGGGGAGAACGGAAUUCCUGGUGUAGCGGUGAAAUGCGCAGAUAUCAGGAGGAACACCGGUGGCGAAGGCGGUUCUCUGGGCAUGUCCUGACGCUGAGGAGCGAAAGUGUGGGGAGCGAACAGGAUUAGAUACCCUGGUAGUCCACACCGUAAACGUUGGGCGCUAGGUGUGGGGCCUAUUCCAUGGGUUCCGUGCCGCAGCUAACGCAUUAAGCGCCCCGCCUGGGGAGUACGGCCGCAAGGCUA